rnacentral:tRNA from 1 species
GGCGAAUGUAACUCAGUUGGUUAGAGUGCCAAAUUGUGGCUUUGGAAGUCGUGGGUUCGAAUCCCAUUAUUCGCC